AAUAAUGUCUAAUAGCAUAUGAAAAUCUGAUGCUAUCCCUCUAACUACUUUCAUUGACCUUUUUUCUUCAUUUCAAUCAAUAUUAUUCCUCAAGAUAGAUAAAGAGUUUACUUUGGGUUCCUGUAUACAUACGACUUGGCAAAAUAGACAAAGGAAACGAAGGCCACAGAGCUUAGACAAGCAAGUUGCCAAUAGAAGUAAUCAAGAUGUGCUUGGUUCAGGUUGUUAGCAAACCAACUCACUUGACCGGACUGACUUGUGGCUUUCUCGAUGACGGCGACCAUAAAGCUACUCAAGAAGUUGCCUAUGCCAACUACACUAAGGUACAAAGAUAGUCCCAAGCUCCUAAGCUCGACGGGUACUUGUCCACAGAAGGAAGAGAAGCAGAGAAAGUAGCAUGGAAACACUUGGAAUACCAAAUCCCAAGGACCAACUUAGGUUCUCUUGAAUAAAUAUAGAGAUCAAACGAGUGGUCAACACGCUAAUACAACUUCCAAACAUUAACCAGUUAAAGUAAGAGCUUAAGUCAUCCCCAUCAAGUUGAUCAGCUCCAAAUACACUAAUACAUGGUUUGUAACCGCCAUGUCCUAUGGCUAUAAGAUACAAAGAACAGAAGAAGAGGGUCACUUGGAGUUGACUUGGAUCUUUGUGGUGAGAAGAAAUCAUGGUUGAAAACGACAGUUGCCCAUAUCCCUAUUUGUUUCACCAGAUCUUCUUCUUAUUAGAAAUAAAUUCGCAACAUUAUGACAGUCUUUUAACAUGUGCAAGAAAAGUAGUCCAACAUACCUAUGGUACAAAUAAUUCAAAUUUCUGUAAGAAAAAAAAAACAUAUGCUUAUAAAACUGGAAUAUAUAAUUUUUGCAAAGUAUUUCACCAAAAUAUAUAUAUAUUAUAUUUCUUUUUAUUGGAAAAACUAAAUAUAAUCUACUAGAUUUUUUCAAGUGAAAGUAGAGAGAUAUUUAAGACGAAUUUGUUGCAUACCAAGAUAUACAGAGAAGAUGCAACUAGGAUAGUACGGAAACGACCGAGAAACGAGUCAGCGAUAAAGCCCCAGAGGAGAGGCAGAAACGACACCGUUCCACUCCAUGCGUUGACAUUCGCAGCAGCUGCAGCCGUUGACUCUCCCAAUGGUCCCGUCAGGUACGUUAUUAGGUUCGAGGAAAUCCCGUAAAAGGCGAAAUGUUCCGCCAUUUCUACACCUACAAGCAAAGAAAACACAGCGGAUUCUUUGAAUCUAUAAGAAGAGAUAACAAAGCUAAUAUCGUUAAGAGUGAUUUACUAACCGAUGAUAAGCCUUGCCGAUUUCCAUCCUCCAGAUGAGGAUCUCAUGGAAUUUUCGGUGGUGCCUGGAUGAAGAGAGUCUUCGAGCUCAUCGCAGAGGUUUGCCAUUGGCUCAUUUAAAAUAAUCAUCGUUUUUUGUAUUGGUCUUGACCUUUGUAUAUGGCAAGGUGACAACUUGUAUUUAAAUAUAUUUACUACGGUCGCUGGGACAUGUAAGAGUACACUAUGGUCAUUUUCAAUCGAUUUAGUUAGUUAAACCAUUGGGAAAUACCGUAGGAUAGAUAGCAAUAAAAAAAGUUUUAGCAGCAAAUAUAGAUUUUAAGGAUCAAAAUGACCAAAAUAUUUUAUUAAAAAGGUAAAUAUACACCAAUAUCUCUAGGGUUAACUAAUCCAAACAUUACGGUUUAGAGUUAGGGGGUGGAGAUUUGGGAUUGAGAUUUAAAAUUUUAUAAAAUAAAAAAUAAAAAUUUAAAAUUUGAAAAUAAUUUUUUUUAAAUAGUUUCAAAAAAUAUUUCGAAUUACAAAAAGAAAAUUUGAAAAAAAAUAAAAACAAAUUUCAAAAAAAAAAUAUUUUUAUAGAAAAGUUCGAAUUUGAAAACAUAUAAUCUAAAACUAUAAAAAAAAUUAUUAUUUUUUUAAAUUUUUAAAUUUUAAAUUUUAUUUUUUAAUUUUUUAUAUAUCUAGGGUAUUAGGGUUCUUUUACCUAUUAAAUAAAAUAUUUUGAUCAUUUUCCUACUUGUGGUCUAUUUUUGUGACCAAAACUUGAAAAUUGUCUAUUAUUUGCGAGAAUUGCCCUAAACCAUUUCUAUAUAUUUCUCUAUAUUUUUAUAAAAUAGAAAAAUUAAUAAGAUAAAUGAUGCCUAUUCUAGUGUAUUUCGUUAUGAAAAAGUAAUGUUCCUUUAUUUUUUUUCCUAAAAAUAAUAAGGAGUUGAAGUUGAUUUUACAACAAAUGAAGUAUGUUAGUUACAGAUUCAAAAUAAAAUAAAUUAAAUGAGAAAACAAUUUUUCUGUAAAGGUAUGUAGUAGAUUAUGUGUUUGAAUUUAACCAUUAAAACAUUUAUGAAAAAUUCCCUAAGAUAAUUUUUUAGUUUAUUUUCACAAAAUAGCUCUAUAGGAAUAAAAAUGAUCAAAAGAAGUUUUAUUAGAUGGUAAAAAUACUUUUAUACACUAAGGUUAAGUGGUUAACUAAUCUAGACUUAGGAUUUAGAAUUAAAUGUGAGGGUUUUGAAGAUAUGGUUUCAAAUUUUAAAAAAGAAAAAAAAUUUAAAAAUUUUAAAAUAAAAGAGGUUAUUUUGAUCAUUUUCCUCAUUGAAUUCUAUUUUUGUGAUAAAAACUAAAAAAAAAAUGUUAUUGAGAGAAUUGCCCAAACAUUUAAGCAAAAAAUAAUGGCCUACAAAGAUUAAUAAUGUCUAAUAGCAUAUGAAAAUCUGAUGCUAUCCCUCUAACUACUUUCAUUGACCUUUUUUCUUCAUUUCAAUCAAUAUUAUUCCUCAAGAUAGAUAAAGAGUUUACUUUGGGUUCCUGUAUACAUACGACUUGGCAAAAUAGACAAAGGAAACGAAGGCCACAGAGCUUAGACAAGCAAGUUGCCAAUAGAAGUAAUCAAGAUGUGCUUGGUUCAGGUUGUUAGCAAACCAACUCACUUGACCGGACUGACUUGUGGCUUUCUCGAUGACGGCGACCAUAAAGCUACUCAAGAAGUUGCCUAUGCCAACUACACUAAGGUACAAAGAUAGUCCCAAGCUCCUAAGCUCGACGGGUACUUGUCCAUAGAAGAACUCUUGUAAACCAACCAUAGUGAAAACGUCAGAGACUCCAUAGAGAACGUAUUGUGG
rnacentral:lncRNA from 1 species